GAAGAGGCAAUGGACAGGUUAUCCAGUGCUGCCCAUCCAUAAUUGAGAGCCAGGGGCUGGACGAAGAAGAGGAAGAGGAAGGUGAGCUGGAGUCUUUGUCUCCGGAAUCGGAGCGGAACAGCAUCCUGUACCCCAGUGAGGUGUUGUCUUCUGGUAGGUGUCCACCGGGUGGAGUCGGCAUGGAGAGAGAGUUUCAAAGCAGCAAAAAAGUUAUACAUCAAACCAGUGGGAAACCCAGGAAGAAGAUCAAGAUCCAGCAGACAUCUCUCACCACCCUAGACCCCUCCAACCUCAGCCCCAGGAUUGUGGACGGCACAGAGGACUGUGAAGAUACAGAGACGUCUCCACUGUUUUCCUUCUCACCCAGUCGAGGGUGUCCAGUCAGCACCCCGGGCAGCAUCCCAGCCACAGAUACAGAUUUGAUCCAGAUCAGCAGGGCAGAGUUAACAGCUAAAACUGAGGAGACCAGAGAAAAACUACAACACCUUGACAAAGAGGUGAGUUCUCUGGGAAAGGAGGUGUCAGAGAUGGGCCGACUCAUGAGGAAUAUGGCUCACCUGAUGGAGUCCCUCAUAUCCGGACACCACCCCCAGACCCUGUAUUCUGCACACCGCGUACCCGACCACCCAGCCUGCCUUUCCCAGCCGAUGCCCUCGCCCCACCAGUCCGCCCACCCUCAGACCGGACCUCUCUGGGCCGACAUGUCCCUCACCACCCCUUCAACUCGCACUCCUCCGCCGCACGUUAGCCUGGCCCAGCGGCAUCCUGGGACUUUAUUCCACGUGGACCCUGCCGUCGCCACCGGUACACUCAGACCCCAAGACCAUCACCCGGUCUACCCCUCCUGCCGCGGGCCGGACACUUCCCCCGUCUCCUCCCCCUGCCCUUCCUCCUGCUGCCCUGCGGACGUGUCCACGAUGCCCCCGCCGCCCCCCUCGCCCCUCAUCUCGCCCGGGACGCCCCCCCACCAGGGAGGAGGGGGACACCCCGGGUCUACCAGGUUACGGGCACACAGUUUGGAGACCCCCCCACAGCGGCUGCAUGACGUUGGGGGGACCAUAGAAGUACCCCUAUAUAUCUCUGGGAGCCUGCCCCGCACAGGACGGAGCAACCAGCACAUGGAUCUGUAGCGGAAUGAAGUGGGCUCUCACUUAGAGACUGGACUAAAGACAUACAGGAAUACUGAACUAAAGGGGUUCUGGACUUUGACAUGGUCUCUAUAUCAGGGGUAUACACUUAUGAUGAUAUCCUUGCAUUUUUUCUAUCUCCGUUUCUAAGGCACGUUUUUUUCUUUUUAAAUAGCAUGACAAAAAGCAGAGGGGCAGUAAGUGUCCUAGAGGUAACGACACGUUGUUUAGACGUUAGCAGACGUUCCUGUAGUGUUGUAGAGGGGUAUAGAAGCAUAAAGGCUGCUGUGACUUUGUCUUUAAGUCUCUGGAGAAGACCCUGGGGGUCUGGAGGAGAGGAGAACAGCAGGGCUACACAGGGA
ensembl:lncRNA